rnacentral:lncRNA from 1 species
CUUUAGUCUGCGGCAGAAGUUCGAACCCUUAAAAGAUGUACUAAAAUUUUAGCAGUCCAUUUUCCCUGAAACAACAAUUUAACUGCUGCUAAAUCCAAAAUUGUAACCUAUAAUGAACGAAAAUCUGUCCGAAAAAGGAAAAAAAAAACAGAAAUGUUUAACGAGCAGCUUCGUUAAUACAAAAUUUAAAACCUCAUAUUGUAAAUGAAUCAACUACACUAUAAGCUAUCAGGUGUCAAGUUCACAUAGGCAGUGUAACACAGUAUUAUAAAUGUAACACAAAAAUUAAACUGAAAUGAAGAAUAGCGGCGAAACUGAAUUAAGUGAAAAUGAAAAAUACAGAUCUAUAUGUAAUAGUGGAAAUUGAAUGGGAGAAGAGUGAGCUGAUACCUAAAAUUGCGAGGAGAGAGAAGUGGAGGAAGGAGGUUAGGGUUUCAAACCCUAGAGCGACAUCGCCAAUAGCUGAGAAUGAGAUGGAUGGAUUUUUUGAAGAGAAAAGGGACGAUUCAACGUUCAAGCGGCUGCUGCUAUAAACGCGUGUUAAGCUGAAGAAUGCAUUUCCACUGCCGCCACUCUAGGACUAGGAAUACUUGGCUUUAUUUUUAUUUUUUAUUUUUAUUUUGGUUUUCAAACAAUGUCUACUUUGACAUACAAUUUUUGGGUUCCACUAAUUUGCAUUCGCGCCACAAAAUUUCUCUUAC